rnacentral:lncRNA from 1 species
GGGAAAACGGUGAGCGAAAAAUGGACAAAAGAACAAGAAGAGGCGUUGGCGAAGGCGUGGGUACAUUGUUCUACCAACAAAAAAAAGGGCAAUCAACAAAGUCGCGAAAGUUUUUGGGGUAAAAUUUUAGAGCACUUUAACAAAACUAUCGGUGGAAGUAACCGGACCGUUCAUCAAGUACGGUCUAAAUGGAACCCGAUGCAUGCGAAAAUAAACUUUUUCAACGGCCUAUACCAACAAGCGGAUCGCACACGAGCAAGCGGAUGUCAGGAUCUGGACGUGAUGAAAGUCGCGUUAAAAGAAUUUAAAGAAAGAUUUCCAAGCGGUUUUCAACACAUCGAGGCGUGGGAGGUCGUUCGAAAACACGAGAAAUGGGCCCAAGUCCCAUUGAUGGGUGAGGAAGGUGAAGGUUCAGCACAUAAAAGAA